rnacentral:rRNA from 1 species
GAACGCUGGUCGGCGUGCUCAUAACAUGUCAAGUCGAACGAGUUUGCUUUUACAUGAAGGUCGGUGCUUGCACCAACUGAUUUAAAAAUAAACGAGUGGCGGACGGGUGAGUAACACGUGGGUAACCUGCCCUCAAGCGGGGGAUAACACUUGGAAACAGGUGCUAAUACCGCAUAACAAUCAAAGUCGCAUGAUUUUGAUUUGAAAGGCGCUUUUGCGUCACUUGAGGAUGGACCCGCGGUGCAUUAGCUAGUUGGUGAGGUAACGGCUCACCAAGGCCACGAUGCAUAGCCGACCUGAGAGUGGUGAUCGGCCACACUGGGACUGAGACACGGCCCAGACUCCUACGGGAGGCAGCAGUAGGGAAUCUUCGGCAAUGGACGAAAUGUCUGACCGAGCAACGCCCGCGUGAGUGAAGAAGUGUUUCUCGGAUCGUAAAACUCUGUUGUUAGAGAAGAACACAGGGUGACGAGUAGAAUGUUCAACCCCUUGAACGGUAUCUAACCAGAAAGCCACGGACUAACUACGUGCCAGGCAGCCGCGGUAAUACGUAGGUGGCAAGCGUUGUCCGGAUUUAUUGGGCGUAAAGCGAGCGCAGGCG